rnacentral:lncRNA from 1 species
CUUCCUGGCCGCGGCGGGGACGGGGGAGGCGGGGGCGGCGGCCGCCGAGCUCCGCCGGCUCUUCGGUCUCGCCGCCUUCCCCGGGUCGGGGGCUACGGGGCCGCCCGGGACCAGUCCGGCCCUCGGCGCGGCCCUGCGGGGCGCGCGCUGCGGGCUGGGCGGUGACAGGUGCUCAUGGAUCUCUGUUUGUAAAUGGGUAAGCCAGUUAUAUUGAAACGUUUUUAAAGCGCCUUCAUGGAGCCCAGGGGAGGGGUCCCUGGGCCUGCCCAUCCCACAGUGCCACGAUGUGAUGCCCACCAAGGCCAGUGCCUCCCUCCUGUGGCCUCGGCCUUGGGGACACAAAGUCGCCCUCCCAUUCUGAUGGAGAAGACGCAUGAUACUUGACCAGAAUGUAGCCACUCUUGAAUGAAAGGGAGGUGUGAGCACGGCCGCAGGGAACCUUUUUGUGUCUCACCCAGGACUGUCUUUUUCAUAGACUUCCCUCAGCCUGAAGUCACAGGGGAGGGUCUCAGGCUUCAAGGGCAGGGCCUGUGAAGGCCUUUGAGUUUCUGCUCUACUGUUUCUGCUCAGGCAGAGCUGGCUAAUGGGAGCUGGGCUGGGCCAGCUGCUCGAGUGUCAGAAAGGCGAGAUGGCCAGCUGCCCCAUGCAGCAUUGGCCUGCCCAGUGCCCAGCAGGAUUCAUGUUUUCGCCCCCAUCCAUUGCCUUUGACGUUCCUUUACAGUGAGAAUCUCGGCCCUCUGGGAGCCGGUGUGGUCUGGAGCACACAAACCCAAAUUCAAAAGAUCUCCAUAGGGAGGCGUUUGAAGCCUCCAGAGACCUUUGUGACUUUGUGCCCGUUGCCCAGUCCCUGCGGAAGAGGAAGGGUUCUUCCAGGCCCAAGGACUAGCUCUUGGUUCCCUCUAUUUCCUGGGGCCAGGGCUGCUUGGGCCUCUCCAAAGGGGGUUACUUGGGUCCUCCGCCAGCCUGUUCAGGGGAUCGCCAGUGCCAUCCUGGGAGCCUUUUCAGUUGGGACUCGUGGGUUUCUGGCAUGGUCUUUGAGAGCCCAGCUUGAGUCCCCAAGUGGGAGUGUUUUGGAGGGAAUUCUUCUUGAGGGGCAUCGGAGCGUAGGUAGAUGUGGCUGCCCUUUGUCCCUGUUUCUGCCCCUUGUCGGGCACCCCGCCUUCAUCUGUUGAGUGAAAGGAAGGGCUCCUUCUCACUCACAUUCUAGGCUUGGGCGACUAGAGCCUCUGUCAGAGAGAGCCCUGCCUAUCGCCUCCUCUGUUUGGGGCCCCUCUUGACCCUUUCUGUCAGAACCUUGCCAGCCCAAUUCCAGAUUUGCAUUCUUGGGUCACCCAGAAAACCGGCUGUGUGACAUUCUGAUGGAAGAGAGGCUGUUCCUCCCAGGCCAAGCUUUCCCCCUGUGUUGGGAUUUGAAAAGGGAGGAGGACCUUGAUUGUCCUUUAGAUAUCUCCUUUUCUCUUCUCUGUAUCGGCCUGUUGCUCGUGGAAGCCUUCGCAGCAAAGAAUUACUGUGUUCCCUUUUCCCAGCAGCAUUUGUUGCUCCUUGAGGUUGGCUUGCACUGGGCAUCCAGGGGCUGUUCGUGGUCCCCCCGCAUUGUCCCAUGCCCAAUGUGGCAUCUGGGUCCAGGGAAGGGGCCCUUUUGGUUGGGGGGGGCCCAGGACUCGGACAGGUCAUGCUUGUCUGUUCUUUGGGGGCAACUGUGGCAGAGAGCCGGGCUCUCGGGAAGAGUGCGUCCAGAUAGGGUUGGGGAUUCUUCCCUGGCAGCUUAAAGGCCCCACAGAGUCAGAGAGCGCAUCGUGGGCGCUUCCCUCAGAGAGCGUGCCUUCCUCUCCUUCGGCAGUGCUGUCAUGUCCAGGGUCUGGGGUCUUUGAGGCCUUACUACAGCCCUUAAAUCAGUUUGAGACGGGAAGGAGAAGAGAUCUGCCUCCAAGGUCCGUUCUGGCUCCGACGUGUGUGGCCAAGGUCGCUGCAGGCUCACGAGGGCAUUAGCAAGGCGCCUGCUGGGGGCACGGGCCCAGUGCUAGCGGCAGAGACAGAACUGAAAAAGGGCCCGGGCCUGCCCUCCCCCGCCAGAGCUCAGUGCCCGGGGUCAGGCUGGCUGGCAUGAGGGCUCCCAACAGGGCCGGGGCGCAGCAGGCUGGGCGAUGAGCUCAGCGUGGGGCGUGCCCUCCCCAAGUUUGUUGCGGUCUCUCCUUGUUGUCAGCACCGGAAGCAAACUUGCGAAGUCGGUAGAUUUGGGCCCCCGAUUGGGGCUUGUGGGGCCGCAAGUCAGACUGCCGGAAAGACUGAGGAAGCUGGUCGGAGCAGAAGUGGGGGGGCACCCUGGGCUAGGGGGGCCUAGGGAGUGUCAGAAGCUCCAACUGCUGACUCCAUUGCUCAGAGGAAAUGCUCACGUGGGGUUGGCCAAUCUUGCCAUUAUUCCUCCUUGUCUUUCUGUGGCCCAAAUGAGUCUAUUUGAGCCUGGGGGCGGGGGGGGGGGGGCUGGGUUGGAGCCUCCCCUCCAUCACUUGGAGGGAGCUGGCUGGCCCAAAGGCCCCGGAAGAACAGCGAGUUCUGAGCCUGGGGGGAGAUGAGGUUGAGUGACAGGGGGCACUGGGUGACCUAGAGCAGUCCCUUCUCCCACUAUCCCGUGGGAGCAGUCCCUUCCCCCCACUGCCCCAUGUCCCUUGGGUGGUCGCCGUAGCCUCUGGUGCAGGGGCAUCGGCCCAAGCAGCUACUGCAGCGGGCACUUGGCGUCAGGGCUGAGUGCAGAUCCUCCUCCCUCCCUUGUGCCUGGCUCCCGGCCCUCCUGCCUCUCUUGUGGUGGACUCGGGAAGCGGGCCGGCUUGUGUUGUCAGAGGAGAGAUGUGGUCAAGACCAAGGAGACAGCUGGCUGAAGUGGGCAGGGAGCCGGCCAAGAAAGGGCUCUGGGCAGGGCUGCUGACCAGCUUGGCCGGGGGGGGAGGGCCUCCUUGGAAGUCACAGACCAUGCUCCCAUCCCCCAGGACCGGGACUCUGCCCAAAGGGCCCCUGCUGGGGGCAGGAGCUGGUCUGUGGGGAAGCCCUGGGCGGGAGGAGUGCCCUGUGAGUCGGGGCCAUGGCGCAGCCCCGUUCCCGGAUGCAGAGGUGAAUCACAUUCCGGCCUUUGUGGCAGCAGGAAGGAAGCCCGCCCUGCUCUCGGGGCCAUGGCAGGAAGGCAGGCGGUCGCCCGCCCCUCGAGGCCAGCUUUGUGCCAGGCAGGUGGUGGCGAGCUUACCAAGAACGGGGCUCCUCAGGCCUGGAGCAGAGAAGGGGGAGAAAUGGGAAAUCUCAGCCCAAGAGUCUGGGCCUGGGCCAGAGUUCUGAGGGACCGCUUGGGUCCAGACUGGAUCCCGGAAGUGAUUGGAAGCCAGCAGAGUCCCGCAGUGGGGGAAGGGAUAUCCACGGGACCAGGCCGAAGGAUACUCGGGCCUCCCAGAAGCAGAGUUUGCUUAGCUGGGGCAAGUUCACCUUUGCCCCGGGGUCCUUGUCCACGAGCUGGUGCCGAGGCCCAGGGGUGCAGGAGGGAGGCUCCCAGGAGCUGGACCUGGACCGAGCUGACAAAGGCAGGGGGCAGAUGGAGCCCCACAGGCCUGCGUUGACCAGACCAUGGAGUGGGGGGAGGGCCCGGCUCUGCCUCCCACCACCUUCCUCCUGGACAGAGGUUUGCUGCCCAGCGCAGUGACCUCCUGGGGCCCGGCACCGGUCUGCAGGCUGGCCGGGCAACAUCGGGGGGGCCCAGGGACCAACACUUGGGCCUGUGUCAGCUUGCUGCUUUUGGACUAACUGGCUCUGUGGGCCAGUGUCCCCCACGGUCCUUGGCACCGUUUCAGAUUCUGGGCCUCUUCUGCUCCCAGGGUUCAGCCCCUUCCUCAUCGAGGCAACUUGCAUUUGCUAUCUGGACUGUGCGUGUUUCCCUGAUGGAACAUAAGCUUCUGGUGGGCAGCCAGGUUCAGCCAGGACAGCCUAAGCCAUUUGGCUUAGGGGAGAGAGAGCCGCUCCCUGCCAGGAGCACCUGCUGGCCCGGGGGCCUGGCACUGCCUGAGCUGGGGGGGGGGGGGGGCUGCUGCCCCCGCGGGACAGGGAGUUUCUUCAGCUGGGGGUCCUUGCCUGGCACUGGCCAUUUUGACUUGGAUCAGGAAAAUAGAGGAGUGUUCCCGUUAUGUAGUGUGUAAUUAAGGGGGCAGGAGCCAAGGGCUGCCAGCCUUGGGCCUCAGGGUCAGUUCUAGGGGUCCCCAGUAUUUCAGGCAAAGUUUUCUGUCAGGGUUAGGAGCUCCUCUCCUCAUCUGGGCUUCUGGUUGCUUUUUGUUUUCACUUGUUGCCUUUGUUUCUGAAUCUAUGGCCUGCCUCUCCCUGCCCAGAUAUCUUCUAAAAGGAAGAAAACAGGUCAGGGAAGGAGCGUGGGUCCCCCACGUCAGCCAGGAUGGUCCUCCCCAUCUAGUCCUUCCCUGCCCCCUUCCAGGGCCACAUCCUCCACCACUGGGGGCCAGGCUUCUUGGUCAGGGCAGUCACGAAGCUUCUUUGUGGUUCUUUCCAUCGAUGUGCCUCCGUACCGCGUUUCCCUGCUGUCAUUAUAGGAGAGACCACGGUGGAGAAGCAGGGAGUGAAUAGCAGGGAGCCUCGAUAUUAGAAAGCCAGAUUCCACUCCUGCCCCAGGGGGGCUGGGCCCAGAGCUUGCCAGGCAUUUGGCCACCACUCAGAAUCGGGACCCAACCCAGAGGUCGGUGUGGAGGAGGCGGGCCCAGGGCCUUGGGAGACGUCUGGGAAGCUCUGACUCUUGCACAGGAGUCAGCGGGAAGCUUCUGGUUCUCUGCUGGUGCCUCCGAGGGCAGGGAGCAAGGGACAACCCUUCUUCAUCCACAGCAGAAACCCCGAGGAGCCCUGGGUGCCCCUGCCCCAUCACCCCCCUCACCUUCCUGGUCCUGGGGGUCCAGGCAGCACAACUGGGGUCCACUUUGAUCGUCCUGGUGUAAAAUGGGAGCAAUGGUACCUUUCCAGCACACAAUUGAGCAACACAGAAACGUCACUGCCCUCUGGGAGGGUGGCCCGAUGGUGUGGUGACUCAGAACUGACCCCCACCCCAGAAUUCUCCUGGGCUCCCCUGCACUCUGACUUAAGAGACAUAUGGCUUUCCCUCUUCAUUAUGAGCCCUUCCCUGUGCUUCUGUUUUGUUUUUCCACGUUUCACCUUAAAUCUGACUUAGUCAGUAAUGAUCCCUCUUAUUAAAGAGCUUGGGCUGGCCCAGGACCCUCCCCACCAAGCAUCAGCAGGCCUGCUCCAGAGACCAAAAGGAGGUGCCCCUGCCCUCGGGCUUCCCACUGGAACCUGUACAUGAAUGAGGAGGGUCUUCCCUGGAAGGGGAAGCUUUGGCUGAGAUUUCUGAUAUCUUCCCAGGGAGCUCACAGGCCUUUCCUUCUCACCUUCUCUCCCUUGGGGGAAAGAAUCAGACAUGGGAUCUGAACUCGCUUACUCCCGGUGCCAACGUCAGUGUUCGCCCCCCUUACACCGUCUGCUUCUACAUAGACGGCUGCCACCUCUGGAGCCAGCCCCCCCAGCUGCUCAGCCCUUUGCAGGGUUGCCACAGGGCCCCCGUGUCUGUAAGUGACCCCGAAGGUUUCAGCCCACAGGGAGAGCCGAUGGUUCUGCUACAAAGUCUCGUCCUUGAGGUGCCCCCAACCUGAGGAGGCCUUGAGGUCCCUCUUCCUUCGCGAGUCUUUGCCUGUGGUAGGGUCUUCAGGAUCCGUUGUUAACAUUUGUUUUCCCAAGUACAUCUUAAAAUACUGCUUUUGGUUUGAGUUCCAAAUUUUCUCUCUCCAUCCUCUUUCUCUCCCUGAGGUGGGACCAGCAGUUGUCCGUGGUUAGCCAUUCCACACAGGAACAUUCAAACGAGAGAAACAGGGACGUGGGCGCUCCAGCCUGCCCCGAGUGCGAGUCUUCCUUUUGGUUCCCGAGGGCGCUAGCCUAAUGUCCGCCUUGCUUACUUCUUGGAAGAUGAGGGAAUUAGACUCGCCCCAGCUGCCCAGGGAGAGUGAGAGGAUGUGGGGGGGGGGGUCCCCAGAUGCCACAGCACGGGGCACUUUUCUCUGGCUCAGGGUCUUAAGGAGGAGGGCUGGGCCUGGCCAGGCCGAGCUCUGGCUUUCUCCUUCCCCUCCUCCCCAUGGUCACUGCUUUCAGUACCUCGGAGAGCGCUUUCCUCCCUACUGGGGAAGCCCAUGGCCCACUGUGUGCUUCAUCCUUGUUAGCGUUGGGACUGGUCCAACAUCUGGAUUGUCGGCUUUUUGCAUGGGUUUGUUCGUUUUUACCCCCAGCUGGAGAGAUCAGUGGUCAGAUCUUUCUAGGCAAGGGGCCUCCUGGCCAAACUUGGGGCCGUCCCCAGCUGACUGAUUUCACAGCUGUUGUGUCAUGUGGUCAUCUGAGCCAGCCCUGAGCCGCCCCAGGGUCAGAAGGCUUUUCCUGGAAUCCAACCUCCCACACACACACUUCCCUCUGGCCUCCGGCUCACCUUCAGCUCUUUGAGGGCAGAGAUUGCUUCACUUUGAGUCGGGAGCCCUGGGGCUUGGCUACGUGUUCCGUGUCACGGUGGUUCAUAAUGAUAGAAACCCCUUAAGAAGGGACGGGCUCAGUGAAAAACUUGUUUUCCUCCCCGGGUCCUACACUUGUCAGUCAGCGCGCAAAUGAAGCUAAAUGCUUUGGGUUCAAGAAAAGGCAAAAAUGGGGUCCCUGGCCACGAGGAGCUCCCGACACGGCUGCUGAGGUGCAGAGGAGGAAGCGCCCGGGCGAGUUUGGAUGCUCACUCCCGCCAAGCCCCUCGAGGCUUUUCUAGUGGCUCCAGCAGGUUGGGCAGUUUCAGAACUCGGCGUGCUCACAGAUGGCCGUUGUAAUGCUCGUUUUUAACGGUUCCACAUCCUCCAUCUUGCCCCUCCCCCCCCCCCCCCCCAAAAGGCUGGCCCUGCCAUCAGUUGUGUGUAUGCAGGCAUGCAGAGCUCAUUUCCUUGUUAGCCGCGUCAGAAAAGAAAUCCAAGAAGGGCAAGUAAAGAAGAGUUAAUGAAAAAAAGUGAAAAAAUUCAUAUGCUUUAGUCUGUAUUCAGAUAUCAAUUCUUGCUCUGGAGGUGGAUAGCAUUUUGCCUCAUGAGUCUUUGGGAUUAUCUUAGGUCAUUGUAUUACUGAAAGUAGUCAAGUCAUUCCCAUUUCUUUGUGCUAUAGUCUUGCUGUUACUGUGUUCAAUAUUCUUCUGGUUCUGCUCACUUCACCUUGUAUCAUUCAUCUAAGGGAGGUUUUUCUUUAAGAUAGGUUUUCAAUAUAUUUCAGUAAAAUAGGAUUUCAAUCCCCAAUAAUCAUCCUGUGUUCUUUCACCAUCCUAUAUGUCAUUUCUCAUAGUACAAUAGUACUAUACGAUGGUAUAUUGUAUUUUCAAUAGUAUUCCAUUGCAGUAGUUUCCAUUUCAGUAUUGCAGUCAUAUUCUAGCUUAUUUAGCCAUUCCCCAGUUAAUGGGCAUCUCUUUGAUUUCUGAUUCUUUGCCACCACAAAAUUCUGCUGUCUAUAUUUUUGUACAGAUGUGUCCUUUCCCUCCUUUGGAUGUUUUUGGGAUCCAAACCUAGCAGAAGUUGUGCUGGAUCAAAGCAUAUGCUGUUUUGCAGCCCUUUGGCCAUAGUUCCAAAUUGCUCUCCAUUUCAAUCAGUUGACAGUUCCAUUAACAAUGCCUGCAGGCAUUGUUUUCCCACAUGCAGCUUUCCUUUUUUGUUAUCUGAUGGAUGUGUGGCAGCCUCUCAGAGUUGUUUGAAUUUGCAUUUCUCUCACUAAGGGUAAUUUAGAGCAUUUUUCCACAGGACUGCAGAUAGUUUUAAUUUCCUCUGAAAACGGCCCGGUCCCUAUCCUUUGACUAUUUAUCAGCUGGGGAAUUUUUAUGAAUUGUAUUUUUAUAAAUUUGACUCAGUUCUUUAUAUAUUGGAGAAAUGAGUCCGCUUAUUGGGAACACUGGCUGUAAAAAAUGUUUCCCUUGUUUCUGCUCUCCUCCUAGUUUUGGUUGCAUUGGAUUCUGGGAGGCGUGUGUGUGUGUGUGUGUGUGCGCGCGCGCGUGCGCGCGUGCACACAUUGUGCACUCAAAGACUUUUAAACUUUAUAUAAUCAAAACGAUCCCCUUUACAUUUUGUAAAGCGCUCUCUAAUGUCAUGUACGUAACUCUGAUGCAGUGUGAAACAUGACAAUGCUUGUCCUAAACUCUUCCCUCCGCCAGAGGCCUGAUGGGCAGGCUGAUCCUUGCUCUGUUAAUCUGUUUAUAGCAUUGCCAGCAGGCCUUUUCUAGCCCCAGCUGCUGGUGCCCAGGGGUGGGGGGGGGGGAAUAGGUCCCCCAGUUACCCUGGGACCCUAAACGCUGUACAUGCUCUGUGUGCCCUUGAUGGUUCCCACAGUUCCUCCCUCCCUGUUGCCCCUUCUCGGCCUGCUUGUGGCGCUCAUGACCUGCAGAGGCUGGGGAUGGCCAAGAUUGAGUCCUCAGGGGGCCCGACCUGGGCUAGCACGAAGAGGAGGGAUUCUCCUUGGGGAGCCCUCGGCCCGGCCUCCCCAGGAGCCAAGACGAAGGCCCUGGGACCUGAAGUUGUAACCAAGGCCUUUCCAGGCCUGCCGGCUCUUGGGGAAGCGUUAGAGUCUGACAGGUGUCGGGUCCCCUCGGGCUUUGGGGGAAUCUCAUUCACAGGAGGCUGAGAGUUUCCCAAGUCAAUGUUGGGGUCAAGUCCCUGUGACAGAAGCCAUCCUGUUUCCAACAUGUCCUUUGCUGGGGCUCAGAGCCGGUGUCCUUGGACAGUCAUGCUCCCCACUGCUGUCCUCCCCUUCGUCUCUUUCUGUUCUUUAAGCAAGGAAGUCAUUCCCGCUCUGGUCUCGAAUUUCCGCUGCUUGUGAAAUCAAGUUGAACUGGAUGACUUUGGAGGCCCGAUGUGUGUGUGUGUGUGUGGGGGGGGGGGGGGGGGCGUGGUGACAGAAUCUGGCCUUUUACUUCCUAAUCUCACAUUCUCAGUCUCUUUGUGGGGAGUGUAACAUGAGGCAAAAAUGCUCUCUUCUGCCCGACGGUCUUUCUGCUGCCUGUUCCUGUGUAGACUGAGGGCUGGAAACCUGGCUCGGCUGCCCUUCCCGAGGGCUCAUUUUAGAAGCGUUUGGUGUGGGAGGUUCCUGAAGGGAAGCGUCUCUCGUCCUCUGGCUUCCCGUCUGGCUUUGGGGAUACCAUUUAUCCUGGAGCCGGCUCUGAGCUUGGCCAUGUCCUUAUGAAAUCUGAGAAAACUGGGUAAUGACUGCGCAAAACCCAGCUCAGCCGUCGUUCCCCCACAUAAUCAAGCCCUGGCUGGCCGCCAUGGCCGUCUGCAGGAUGGGGUUUAAACCCUGCUUCUCCCACGGCGUCUCUGCGACCUCAGGCACUGACGCCUCCCUGGGCCUCAGUUUCCCCAUGUCCUGUGGCUCUAAGGGCCCACGACCCUCAGAAAUGCCGGCUUGUGCCUGUCUCUCGAUCCACUGAGUCUGGUCGAGAGAAAGAACUCGACAUUCUCUUUGUCUUCUGACCUUAUGAGAUGUGUGUGUUUUAAGGGGAGAGGGAGAGCUCCCCCCGGGCCAGGGUCUCCAAAGUGGAGGCUGGGCCUGACCCCACAGGAUGUCAGAGUGAGGGGAUGGAUGGCCACGUCCAUGUGGCAGGACUUUGGCCCCCUUGCCCUCUCCCACCCCUCCCCCUCGGCAUGUGGGACAAGUUGGGCCCAGUGUUGGCUGGUCUCCUCAGUGGAUCAUGACACAAAGAUUGCGCGCCUCCUCACAGGAGUCCCCCACGGAGAGAAUGAUAAAUAUCCCCCAAAACGGGGCCCCUCCUCCAAUCACCCGGCAGCGCCCCCACUGACUGGGCGGCUCCUCUGAGGCGGGGCGGCAAGUUGGGCCCGAGGAGCCGGUCUGGCCGCCUCAGCUGCUGCUCCCACACCCGGAGCCUGACCCCACCCCCUUCCUCUUCUCCCCCCCCCCCCCCAGCCCCUCCCUGGGCUCUGGGCUCCUGGGAGACUUUGCCAAAGGCUCCUGCUCUCCUAGGCCGGCCCUCAUUUGUGCCCUCACCUCCAUCGUCACCCUCCUGCCUCGCAGCCCUGGUUUUCCUUCAGAAUUCAGCCCCCUGCCUCCUGUGGGGUCUUCUGGUUUACCCCCUGCCCCCAGCUGGCCUUGGGGAUAGAAUGGAAGCUUUUUGAGGGAACGUCUGCAUCCCUCGUGCCCGGCAGGGUGCCCAGUGCCCAGGAAGCACCCCGCUUGCCGAGGGAGGGAGGGAGGGAGGGAGGGGCGCCAGCUGGGCUGGCUGCAGCCCAGGACACUCGGCUCCUUUCCCAGGAGUCACUGUGACUCCCGGCUCCUCGGUCCCUGUCAGGACGCCCCGACCCCACGGAGCGGGACAGGGGAGCUGAGUGACACAUCUCUUCUUGUUGCAG